rnacentral:rRNA from 1 species
CCUACGGGUGGCUGCAGUGGGGAAUAUUGCACAAUGGGCGCAAGCCUGAUGCAGCGACGCCGCGUGAGCGAUGAAGGCCUUCGGGUCGUAAAGCUCUGUCCUAAGGGAAGAGUAAUGACGGUACCUAAGGAGAAAGCCCCGGCUAACUACGUGCUAGCAGCCACGGUAAGACGGAGGGGGCGGGCGUUAUCCGGAAUAACUGGGCGUAAAGGGUGGGUAGGCGGCCCGGAAAGUCAGGAGUUAAAUCCCUCGGCUAAACCGAGGUCAGCGUUUGAAACUGUAGGGCUUGAGUGCAGGAGAGGAGAGCGGAAUUCCUAGUGUAGCGGUGAAAUGCGUAGAUAUUAGGAGGAACACCAGUGGCGAAGGCGGCUCUCUGGACUGCAACUGACGCUGAGGCACGAAAGCGUGGGGAGCGAACAGGAUUAGAUACCCUUGUAGUC